rnacentral:rRNA from 1 species
CUGAUCCAGCCACGCCGCGUGAAGGAAGACGGCCCUACGGGUUGUAAACUUCUUUUGUAUGGGAGAAAAAAGGGCUACGUGUACUGUUUUGCAUGUACCUUACGAAUAAGGAUCGGCUAACUCCGUGCCAGCAGCCGCGGUAAUACGGAGGAUCCAAGCGUUAUCCGGAUUUAUUGGGUUUAAAGGGUGCGCAGGCGGAAGAAUAAGUCAGCGGUGAAAUUUUUCAGCUUAACUGUAAAAGUGCCUUCGAAACUGGUUUUCUUGAAUGUGGAUGAAGUAGGCGGAAUUUGUGGUGUAGCGGUGAAAUGCAUAGAUAUCACAAGGAACUCCGAUUGCGAAGGCAGCUUACUAAGCCAUAACUGACGCUGAUGCACGAAGGCGUGGGGAUCAAACAGGAUUAGAUACCCUGGUAGUCCACGCCGUAAACGAUGAUUACUCNCUGUUUGCGAUAUACAGUAAGCGGCUGAGCGAAAGCGUUAAGUAAUCCACCUGGGGAGUACGUUCGCAAGAAUGAAACUCAAAUGAAUUGACGG